GAUGAACGCUGGCGGCGUGCCUAAUACAUGCAAGUCGAGCGAACAGAUGAGGAGCUUGCUCCUCUGACGUUAGCGGCGGACGGGUGAGUAACACGUGGAUAACCUACCUAUAAGACUGGGAUAACUUCGGGAAACCGGAGCUAAUACCGGAUAAUAUAUUGAACCGCAUGGUUCAAUAGUGAAAGACGGUUUUGCUGUCACUUAUAGAUGGAUCCGCGCCGCAUUAGCUAGUUGGUAAGGUAACGGCUUACCAAGGCGACGAUGCGUAGCCGACCUGAGAGGGUGAUCGGCCACACUGGAACUGAGACACGGUCCAGACUCCUACGGGAGGCAGCAGUAGGGAAUCUUCCGCAAUGGGCGAAAGCCUGACGGAGCAACGCCGCGUGAGUGAUGAAGGUCUUCGGAUCGUAAAACUCUGUUAUUAGGGAAGAACGAAUGUGUAAGUAACUAUGCACGUCUUGACGGUACCUAAUCAGAAAGCCACGGCUAACUACGUG
rnacentral:rRNA from 1 species